rnacentral:lncRNA from 10 species
UGGUCUUGAACUCCUGACCUCUGGUGAUCCACCUGCCUCAGCUUCCCAAAGUGCUGGGACUACAGGUGUGAGCCACCGUGCCUGGCUAAAGUAGAAAUUUUCUUUUUUUCUUUUUUUUUUUUUGAAGUGGUUAGAAAAAUUUAUUUUGUGCUUAGGAUUUUUUUCUUUUUCUUUUUUCCUUUUUUUUUUUUGAGACGGAUUUUUGCUCUUGUUGCCCAGGCUGGAGUGUAAUGGCGCAAUCUUGGCUCACUGCAGCCUCCGUCUCCUGGGUUCAAGAGAUUUUCCUGCCUCAGCCUCCCAAGUAGCUGGGAUUACAGGCAGGCGCCACCACGCCACACCCAGCUAAUUUUGUAUUUUUAGUAGAGACGGGGUUUCUCCAUGUUGGUGAGGCUGGUCUCGAACUCCUGACCUCAGGUGAUCCACCCGCCUCAGCCUCCCAAAGUGCUGGGAUUACAGGCAUGAGCUACAGCACCUAGCCCCUUAGGAUAUUUUUCUAAGGCAUCACAAGUUACACAUCCAAACUCUUCAAUGGUAUAAUAUUUUAUAUUAAAGUAGAAUUUUCUACGAAACAAGAAAAUGCUUGUUUCAGCAGGCAACUUUAAAUAAAGGUACUCAGUGUCGUGGUGUAUGUAUAUCAAUAUAGCCACCAUUUAUUGCCUCCUAUAUGCUAGACAUUGCUAGCACUGCAUACUUCAUAUUUUAUGACAACCCUGCCAAAAAAUGGCUGCUUUUCCUGAUGAAGGUGCUGAGACUCCAGCCAGGGACCUGACUUGCACAAGGCCAACGCCCUGCAUCUGGCUCCAAAACCAGCAUCCUUGACCACCGCCUGGCACCCGGAGGCCUCCUCAUGGUCAGGACCUGGCGUUGCUGCUGGUCUUCCCUGAACGCCUAACAUGCCAGGAGUGUGCUGUCCUCCCAGCUCUGUGGGGGUCUUACAACUGAGAAAGCCAUAGAAGGUGAAAGAAACGCUCAUGGUCUCACGGGAGGAGAGAGCGAAAAAGUCUUAAUUGCUGGGCUUCUUUGCCUGAAUGAAGGGAUCUGCAGGAGCCACGGGUAUUUGCACUACCAAGUUCUCAUGCUUCUGAUUUUCCUCCAGGUAAACCAGGAUGCUUACUUCAAGUUUCUUGUUUUGCCCUACAGUGAAUUUUAGGAUUGUAAUUUACCUGCAAGGUUUUUGUUUGUUUGUUUUGUUUUGUUUUUUCGAGAUGGAGUUUCGCCCAAGCUGGAGUGCAAUGGCGCAAUCUCUGCUCACUGCAACCUUCGCCUCCCGGGUUCAAGCAAUUCUCCUGCGUUAGCCACCCGAGUAGCUGGGAUUACAGGCACGCGCCACCACACCUGGCUAAUUUUGUAUUUUUAGUAGAGACGGGGUUUCUCCAUGUUGGUGAGGCUGGUCUUGAACUCCUGACCUCAGGUGAUCCGCCCGCCUCGGCCUCCCAAAGUACUGGGAUUACAGGCAUGAGCCACCGUGCCCAGCCUACCUGCAAGGUUUUAAGCAAUUCACUAGGAGCCAUGCACGGUGCUAGAAUCAGCAUGAGAGUCAAAGUCAGAUUUGAAUCAGGACUAGUUUAUCACAGGUUAACCUCAAGGAAGUCACUCUUCUGUACCCAAUGUUCUCAGAAGCAAAAUAAGGACAGUGAUAAUGCCCAUCCCAGGAGUGGAGGCCCAGACUUGUUAAUGUCUGAAAAUACUUCAGAAAUGCUAGAGCACUGUACAGAUAACAAUUUGAGUAAUAUUUUUGGUCAAAUUAUUCUAGUUUAACACAUGUAUUCUUAAAAAAUGGACUUGUGAUUCCUUACAGCUAAAGAGAAUCAAGUCCACCCUUAGCAUGUUAGCGGUCACUGCCAGGUUCCUGCUGCACGAGGAGGAAGUCCUCCAUGGCUGCUUUUCUAUAAACAAUUCCAUUUCUCGUUGUAGAACACAGAAGUAAAUACAUCGAAUUUUUAUUUUUAGUAGCAAUCAGAGCCUACUAAACUUCCUUUUGACUCACCUCUUGAUUGAAUUCAGAGUAGGCAGAAAAUCUCAUUCAAUCUCUUCACUGUGUGGGUGAGGAAACCGAGGCCCAAGGGUGAUGAAGCCACUUCCUCAAAGGCACUCCGUGAGUUGGUGGUGGGGCUGCCGGCAGGAUGAAGUGCUGUUACUCCAGGCCAGAGCCACUCCCCCGCUUCAUCAGCCAUGCUGUUUCAUGGGUGCACCUGUUCUCAUUUAUGUGGACGUUAGGAACCGUGGGUCUCUCGUGUUAAGCCAUAGGCCUUUAAUAAAGACGUGUAGAGUAAAGCCUGAAUCCAAGAAUUGACAUUUAAACAUGAAACAUUUUCUUUUCUAACUUGGAAACCAGUUCUAAAAACACACCUAAAAGGGAAUUUCAGUUUGAUUUGUGUGAAGGGAAUAUUUUUGGAUAAAUCUGUAUGCCAUUGGAAAUGCAAUAUUUCUAAAUGAUUAAUAUUUGAGACAUUAAUGUAAUGAGACAUGUAAUGUCAUGUAAUGUAACGAGACAUGUAAUGACAUGUAAUGUCAUUACAUAUUUGAGACAUGUAAUAUUUGAGA